UCGGAGCUCUGGGGCGGGGCGGCCGGGCUCAGAGGGCGGGCGGGAGCAGCGGGAGCAGGGGCGCCCCGGGCGCCGGGGCCGCUGGGGACGAACGCGGCGGGUCAGGCCCCGAAGCCCGGGCCGCGGUGGCCGCCUCAGGCGCCCGCUCUGGGGUGGGGGUGGGGGCAUCUUUCGGGACCGAACUCGCCGCAGCCUCCCUCUUUGUGCUCCUUUCCCCUGCUGCCCUUCCAGAUGCGCUCUUUCCAGAAAGGCAGCACACGCAUGUCUCUGCCGUGGCCCCAGAUCCUCCCCGCGCCGCCGUUUUGAGCGUUCACACUCAUUACCCAGGUCCGUCUGGGAGACCCGCCGGGCUCCCGCCCUCCCGGCCCGCAGCCUCCUGGCCAAAAUCCUCCCGGGACACCCCACCUGGACUGCUGCGAACGGGCCUCCACCCGCCUCCCCGGACCCGCAGCGCCCCCCGCUCCCUCAGGGUUCUGGGGUGAAGGGGUCUGAAUAGCACCAGGGGAGGCGGCAGGGCGGGCCUGUCCUACCUGCGCCCGAGCACUGCUGAGACGACAUCCCUUCCAGCGCCGCCACGUAGUCCAGCCCCAGCCAGCCGCGGUCCUGGAAGCACCGCAGGCAGACGACCUGCUCCUCACUGGGCUCAGGCAGGGUCACCCGCCCAGUGCCGCUAGCUGCAAAUUGCUUUACAUACAGUGACCCAAAGAGCAAGUCAUUUCAGGGCCCCACCACUCUGAUUGGAAGUCAUAAGCUUGACAACUGAUUGGCCUCUGUCACCCAAGCGGGUGUGGGGACACUAGGCCCGCAGGUGCCACUGGAAGAGGCGUUCAGAAGCACUGCGGUGCUCCAGCUCCUGGAUGCAGGUCUGAGGCCUGAGAUGUCCAGGAAGAAAGACCCAGAAAUGAGGGAUGGUGUGGGUGGGAUUCCUGAGCGUUCUGCUAGGCCUGCUGAGCACUUCUUGGCCUUUUCCAUAAGGCUUUCUCACUCUGUCUUACAGAUAUCUCCCCACAAACCUAAACAAUUUCGAGAGGGACUUGUGUUCUGCAACCAGUCACAGAAUAUCAGGUGAGCUGGGCGUGUCUUCACUGACCCACCCGCCCAGGGAUGCUGCACUCCUCUCCACCCUGCUCAGAAUCACUAGAAUGACCGUUCUGUGGCUACAGCCCUAAAAGAGCUACUAAAAAGACCAGAAGUAGUAUGAGAACUUAUGAAUACGAAUAUAAAUAAAGGACAUCUGGAGAACAUGC
rnacentral:lncRNA from 1 species